rnacentral:rRNA from 1 species
UUUUUGAUAAUAAUUUAAAGUAGGGCCUGCCCACUGAAAAUUUGAAGGGCCGCAGUAUUCUGACUGUGCAAAGGUAGCAUAAUCAUUAGUUUUUUAAUUGAAAGCUGGAAUGAAUGGUUUGAUGAGAAAAUAGCUGUCUCAAUUUUAAUUAAUAGAACUUUAUUUUUAAGUUAAAAAGCUUAAAUUUCUUUAAAAGACGAGAAGACCCUAUAGAGUUUUAUUUAUAAUUUUAAAUAAUUUUAAAGAAUUUAAUAAGAAAUUUAUUUUUAUAAAUUUGGUUGGGGUGACUAAAAAAUUAAAUAAACUUUUUUUUAUAUGUUCCAUUUAUUUAUGAUUAUUUGAUCCAAGCAAUUUGAUUAUAAGAUUAAAUUACCUUAGGGAUAACAGCGUAAUUUUUUUUGAGAGUUCAUAUCGAAAAAAAAGAUUGCGACCUCGAUGUUGGAUUAAAAUUAAUUUUUGGUGUAGAAGCUAAAAUAUUAGGUCUGUUCGACCUUUAAAAUUUUACA